rfam:Enterovibrio pacificus strain CAIM 1920 contig010, whole genome shotgun sequence.
UCUGGCAGCCACAGCGCAAUGGCACCACCUGAACCCAUGCCGAACUCAGAAGUGAAACGUUGCUGCGCCGAUGGUAGUGUGGGGUCUCCCCAUGUGAGAGUAGGUCACUGCCAGAU